rnacentral:rRNA from 1 species
ACGAACGCUGGCGGCGUGCUUAACACAUGCAAGUCGAACGAGAGGACAAGAGAAGCUUGCUUCUUUGGAAUCGAGUGGCAAACGGGUGAGUAACACGUAAACAACCUGCCUUCAGGAUGGGGACAACAGACGGAAACGACUGCUAAUACCGAAUACGCUUGGAAGACCGCAUGAUUUUCCAAGGAAAGGGUGGCCUCUACCUGUAAGCUAUCGCCUGAAGAGGGGUUUGCGUCUGAUUAGGCAGUUGGUGAGGUAACGGCCCACCAAACCUACGAUCAGUAGCCGGUCUGAGAGGAUGAACGGCCACACUGGAACUGAGACACGGUCCAGACUCCUACGGGAGGCAGCAGUGGGGAAUCUUCCGCAAUGGGCGAAAGCCUGACGGAGCAACGCCGCGUGAGUGAUGACGGCCUUCGGGUUGUAAAGCUCUGUGAUCGGGGACGAACGGUCCGUAAGCUAAUACCUUAUGGAAGUGACGGUACCCGAAUAGCAAGCCACGGCUAACUACGUG